CAAGUCAUUAGCGUUCAGAGGUUUCUAGAACGAGAGAGAACUGUCGACUUGAGAAUGAGAACUAAAGAUUUAAUUUUGCUCGGUUUCCAUGUUUUUUUUUUUUUGUUUUUUUUUACUGUAAUCUAAUUUUCAGUACUGGACCAUGUGAACUGGAUUGAAAACCACUAAAUUUGAAACUAUUUUGAACCAGAGAAGACAACUAGAACUUACAAACUAUGGAUUUUGGAGGGUAACACUUGCUGCAAAUUUGCUCAAGAACACACUUUGGAGAAACAGACUUUGAUGCAAGACGCUGUGGCUAAUGAGCUCUCAUCAAGUCAAACUCAGAUCUCUGUCCAAUGUAAGGAGAACCCUGAGGGUCAAGACGGAAUAGUGCUGUUUGACACGGUGCAAGUCUUUCCCAUUGUCAACAUCCUUUGUCCUACCAGGGUAGAAGAUCUUCAUGAUGGUCAUAGCAAACAGCAGUAGAUCUCUCUCAUCGUAAUUGGCGUGGAGAGAGUAUAAAAUGCCAGGAGAGACAGAAGCAGUGGAGAGAGAGACGGACUGCUGACGUACCCCAGAACCGGAAGAAGUCACCUGGAAGUGUUAUGCGAUUGUGUCUGUGUUGAUGUCAGAGAAGAAGGAGUGCCGCCGCCAUGCAGAGUCCCAGGUGGCCGCACAACAGCUACUGGUGGUGAACCUCCUGGUCUUCGACGACCUGAAAAGGGCCAUCAUUCAGCGGGUCGGCCGGACCCCAGAGCAGCAUCGCCAGCGGUUCCGUUCCCUGGACCUGGGGGAAUCUGGUCGGCCAUUUGCGAUGGCCCAGCAGCUCCGGGACUCCUGCCACAAGUGGCUACUGGCCGAGGGAAGUGACGUGGAACACCUCAUCGACCUCGUGGUGCUGGAGCAAUUCAUCGCUCAGCUACCGAAAAAAACACUGGACUCGGCUGUCCAUCUGGCAGAGGACCACAUGGUGGCGUGCCCAGGGGUCGGCGAACCCUUAACAUCUCUCUCUCUCUCUCCCUCUCUCUCCUCCCCAUCUCUCUCUCGACCUGUCCCUCUCCCUAGGUCCCGUCCAGCCGGCCCUCCUCGUGUCCCGCCCCGGGGGGAUUGACCAAGGACAUUAUGGGAAUCCAAGGGCCCCGCCCAGGUGGGUGGGGCUGAUGGCUGCCGGAGGGGACAGCACUUCUGUUUCCCCGCUCUCUCCACGCCAAUUCUCCAAUCCACUCCCUGCCACUGGGGCGGCGGGGAGGUCUGGGCUGGCCUGUUGGCGUUGUGGGGACCCGGAGCAUUUCGUGGACAGGUGUCCAGUGAUGGGGGUGGGGACGAUGAUCCGGGUCCCGGACGUCCCACAGGCCACCCCCGGUCAGGCAGGAGAGUACCAAAUACCUUAAUUGGCGUGGAGAGAGUAUAAAACGCCAGGAGAAACAGAAGCAGUGGAGAGAGAGACAGACUGCUGACGUACCCCAGAACCGGAAGAAGUCACCCGGAAGUGUUAUGCGAUCGUGUCUGUGUUGAUGUCAGAGUAAAAGUCACCGUUGGUGUAAAGUUAUUUUUGUUACUUGAAUAAAAAUAUGUCAGCAGUCCCUUUGUCCUCUUCCUUUCCUCACACGAACUUACUACACUCCAAUAAUAGUCAGUAAGAAAACAAACAGACAGAAAUCAGUUUGGAGAAGAUCAACAGCAUUUCAGAAUAUGAAGACAAUGCAGAAAAGUCGAGCGGAUGUGGCGGAAGACGAAACUUGAAAUUCACUAUAGCAUCUAUAAAGACAACCUUCAUGCUUUUAAUGUGAAACUAGCCACAGCUAGACAGAAUUUCUUCUCAAACCUUAUAAACAGUAACUUAAACAACACUCGUACUCUUUUUGCCACUGUUGAGAGACUGACAAACCUCCCAAGACAGAUUCC
ensembl:lncRNA